rnacentral:rRNA from 1 species
AAAUUGAAGAGUUUGAUCAUGGCUCAGAUUGAACGCUGGCGGCAGGCCUAACACAUGCAAGUCGAACGGUAACAGGAAACAGCUUGCUGUUUCGCUGACGAGUGGCGGACGGGUGAGUAAUGUCUGGGAAACUGCCUGAUGGAGGGGGAUAACUACUGGAAACGGUAGCUAAUACCGCAUAACGUCGCAAGACCAAAGAGGGGGACCUUCGGGCCUCUUGCCAUCGGAUGUGCCCAGAUGGGAUUAGCUAGUAGGUGGGGUAACGGCUCACCUAGGCGACGAUCCCUAGCUGGUCUGAGA